CUACUACUCCCUCCGUCCAACAAAGGAUGUCUCCACUUUGAUCAAAUUUGAAUGCAUCUAUACACUAAGUCAUGUCUAGAUACAUCCAAAUUUUAUCCAAAUUUUGACAAACUUAAGACAUCUUUUGUUGGGCGGAGGGAGUAGCAU
rfam:Brachypodium distachyon strain Bd21 chromosome 1, whole genome shotgun sequence.